AUCUACAGCCAUGUCAACGUAAGCGUGUCCGAUCUCGUCUGAUCUCGGAAGCUCAGCAGGGUCGGGCCUGGUUAGUACUUGGAUGGGAGACCAUGUAGGAAGACCAGGUGCUGUAGGUG
rnacentral:rRNA from 1 species